rnacentral:rRNA from 1 species
UUAACCAUAGUACGCUUNGGAAACUGUUUAACUUGAGUGCAGAAGGGGAGAGUGGAAUUCCAUGUGUAGCGGUGAAAUGCGUAGAUAUAUGGAGGAACACCGGUGGCGAAAGCGGCUCUCUGGCCUGUAACUGACGCUGAGGCUCGAAAGCGUGGGGAGCGAACAGGAUUAGAUACCCUGGUAGUCCACGCCGUAAACGAUGAGUGCUAGGUGUUAGGCCCUUUCCGGGGCUUAGUGCCGCAGCUAACGCAUUAAGCACUCCGCCUGGGGAGUACGACCGCAAGGUUGAAACUCGAAGGAAUUGACGGGGGCCCGCACAAGCGGUGGAGCAUGUGGUUUAAUUCGAAGCAACGCGAAGAACCUUACCAGGUCUUGACAUCCCGAUGCCCGCUCUAGAGAUAGAGUUUUACUUCGGUACAUCGGUGACAGGUGGUGCAUGGUUGUCGUCAGCUCGUGUCGUGAGAUGUUGGGUUAAGUCCCGCAACGAGCGCAACCCUUAUUGUUAGUUGCCAUCAUUCAGUUGGGCACUCUAGCGAGACUGCCGGUAAUAAACCGGAGGAAGGUGGGGAUGACGUCAAAUCAUCAUGCCCCUUAUGACCUGGGCUACACACGUGCUACAAUGGCUGGUACAACGAGUCGCAAGUCGGUGACGGCGAGCUAAUCUCUUAAAGCCAGUCUCAGUUCGGAUUGUAGGCUGCAACUCGCCUACAUGAAGUCGGAAUCGCUAGUAAUCGCGGAUCAGCACGCCGCGGUGAAUACGUUCCCGGGCCUUGUACACACCGCCCGUCACACCACGAGAGUUNGUAACACCCGAAGUCGGUGAGGUANCCUUUAGGAGCCA